rnacentral:rRNA from 1 species
UACAGAGGAGCCAAGCGUUGUCCGGAUUCACUGGGCGUAAAGCGCACGCAGGCGGACGCUCGCGUGGGGUGUGAAAUCUGGCCGCUUAACGGCCAGGCGCCAUCCCAUACGGCGCGUCUGGAGUGAUGCAGAGGUCGAUGGAAUUGCCGGUGUAGUGGUGAAAUGCGUAGAGAUCGGCAGGAACACCCAGGGGGAAACCAGUCGACUGGGCAUCUACUGACGCUGAGGUGCGAGAGCGUGGGGAGCGAACAGG